UUUAGAGCUGGUUUGCUAUUUCGUCAGUAGCAGAAUUCAGCCGUGAGCAUCGAGGAUACAUUGUAAUUUAAAACCUUUCAUCGCCAACAUACUGUAAGUUAACGAGCUGUGAUCAUAUUUGGGACUGCAAUGGAUAAGAUUAGUUUACCAUUAGAGGCAUAGUGGAAGUGCUCGGGAUUUUUUAAAACCAUAAAACAUGGAACAAAGAGGACGCGGGGCAUUGCAGGAGCGAUGCCAGUGGGUCGCGUUCAUGGUUGCUUUGGUUCUCUUUUGGAGCGGAGCUUCUGCUCAGAUAAGGUACUCAAUCUCUGAAGAGCUUACGGAAGGAACUGUCGUGGGGAAUGUAGCUAAGGAUUUGGGAAUAGAUCUGAGCACCUUGAAGGAUAGGAGUUUUCGAAUCGUGUCUGGCUCGACCGACCCCCUUUUCCAGGUAAACCAGAAUGACGGCAUCUUGUAUAUGAACCGAAAAAUAGACCGAGAGGAGGUGUGCGAACGGAGCAGCGUGUGUUUAAUAAACCUGAAAACCGUUCUAGAAAACCCGCUGGAGAUCCAUUAUGUAGCGGUGGAGGUGUUAGAUGUUAACGACCAUUCUCCCAGCUUUCCGGAGAAAGAGAAACGUUUAGAGAUAUUUGAGUCAGCGUCACCGGGGGCGAGAUUUCAGCUACAAGCUGCGCGCGACCCAGAUAGAGAUCCAUUCUCCGUUCAACAAUAUAAACUUAGUCACAAUGACCAUUUUCGUUUAGAAGUUAAAGACCGAGGUGAGGAUGGCAAAAUGCCGUUUUUGGUUUUACAUAAACCACUAGACAGAGAAGCAGUAAGGAGCCACAAACUCCUCCUCACUGCCAUUGACGGUGGAAAACCUCCUAGAUCUGGAACUCUUGAAAUAUUUGUUGAUGUAUUGGAUGUUAACGACAAUAACCCAGUGUUCACUGAAGAUGAAUAUACUGUAAGGUUGACUGAAAACGCUCCUUUGGGAACAAUGGUGAUACGGGUAAAUGCCACCGAUUUAGACAGUGGUCUGAACGGGGAUAUCAUUUAUUCAUUUGGCAAUGACGUCAACAGCAGGUUAAUGAAACUUUUUAAUUUAGACACCAUCACCGGUGAAAUAACUGUGAAAGGACAAAUUGACUUUGAGGAAAAAGAUAGUUAUCUGAUUGAUAUACAGGCAUCAGAUCAAGGACCCGUUCCCCUGACAACGGACAAGAGUGUAAAAAUUAAAAUAGUUGACUUCAACGACAAUGCACCUGUGAUAGAGGUGACAUUAUUUUCUAAGGCAAUCCCCGAAGAUUCCAAGCCCGGAACGACUGUAGCACUAAUCAGUGUUAAUGAUUUGGACUCUGGUCUCAAUGGGAAAGUUACAUGUUCUGUAUUGGAAGAUAUACCUUUCAAACUAAUGCCGUCUUUACAAGAUAACAUGUACUCUGUAAUCACCAAGUCCCCACUGGACAGAGAGAAACAAUCUGAAUAUGAUCUAACAAUAUUUGCUACAGACGCAGGCCAGCCGUCCAUGUCAUCUGUAAAAACUGUAAGGGUUGUUGUAUCAGAUGUGAAUGAUAACUGUCCAGAGUUUUCACUGAGUCCCUAUACGUUCUAUGUCACUGAAAAUAACGACCCAGGUGCCUCUGUAUUUUCGGUGAGUGCGUCAGAUCUUGACAUAAAUGAAAACGCGUUUAUUUCAUAUCAUAUUCUGAGAGACGGUGGUGACGAGAAUAAAUGGGCAUAUUUUCUCAACAUUAAUUCAGAUAAUGGAAACAUUUUGGCGCUAAAAAGCUUUGACUUUGAAACCCUCAAAGCAUUUCAAUUCCAAGUUGUAGCUACAGACUCUGGAACUCCGUCACUAAGCAGUAACGUCACAGUGAACGUGUUCAUUCUGGAUCAGAACGACAACGCUCCAGUGAUCUUGUAUCCAGUCAGCCCUAACGGUUCCGCUGAAGGUGUGGAGGAGAUUCCCCGCAAUGUGAACGCAGGCCAUUUGGUGACUAAAGUGAGAGCCUAUGACGCUGAUAUAGGAUAUAACGGAUGGUUAUUAUUUUCACUGCAGGAAGUUACUGACCACAGUCUCUUUGCUUUGGACCGCUAUACGGGACAGAUAAGGACACUUCGGUCAUUCACAGAGACAGACGAGGCUGAGCAUAAACUGGUCAUACUGGUAAAAGACAACGGGAACGUUUCACUGUCAGCAACAGCUACUGUGAUUAUCAACGUUGUGGAGCCCAAAGAGGCUUUUGUAGCUUCUGAUGUUAAAAGUUCAGUAAAAGACGAGGAGGAGAACAGCGUUACAUUUUAUUUGAUCAUUACUUUGGGGUCAGUUUCAACGCUUUUUCUCAUCAGUAUCAUCGUGUUGAUUGUAAUGCAGUGCUCCAAACCCAAAGACUAUUCCUCCAAGUAUUUACAAGAUGUGAAUUACGACGGGACACUGUGCCACAGCAUCCAGUACAGAUCCGGAGACAAACGGUACAUGUUAGUUGGACCCAGAAUGAGUAUAGGUUCUACAAUAGUCCCGGGCAGCAAUGGGAAUACUCUAGUGCUACCUGAACACAGAAGAGCUUCUGGAGAGUGUCUCGUGAAAGGAAAGAGUGGACAGAUCGAGAGCGUGGAUCCGCCGAACAUCCGUAGUCAUUCACUGAACCACAGCAUUUCUUCACUUCUGAACUUAAUCAGAGUUCCAGGUAAGUUCACUGUUACUGGUUAACUUUGUGUGCAAAUUCAAACAGUUGAGCAUCAUUACAGCUAGCUAGCUAGCUAGCAUUGUAGUGUAGGCUUUCUGUUGCCGCACUAUUUGCGUAGUAAGAUGCUAAUGUGGGCAUCUAGCUAGAGCUAAUUAGCUAGCUAUCUACAGCAACAUUAAGUUACACCACUUUUAGUGGUUUAUGGACAGUAUGUACGCCCAGUGGAUCGGUGCAUCACCUGUUUUACAUUUUCAACAGAGCGGUAUUAGCUAUUAUCUGUAGCUAGCGGACUUUACUGACUAAGUAUCGGCCAGCAGGUUAGUCGGUGCAACAUGCGUUUUACUCUGAAAAGAAAGCUGUUAGUUGUUAGUAGACAGUAUUUAGCGUCAGGCAGGUCGAUGCAACACGUGAUUUACUCUAAACAGAGCACUGCUCUCUUGUAAUUUGUGCAUAUUUGUCUCAAUGCAAUUUAAAUAAACUUUUUUCUUGUCAUCAAGGAUGCAGGCUGUACGAGUGAAGUAUAGGGAUUGUCAGAAGUACAUUUGUUAUGAGUUGCAACUGACCUUCAAAUCCUUUUUGGAUUGUGGUGAGUGAAAAGUUUCAAAUUUCACACAAUAUCCAAUGGAGCAACAUACUUACACUUUAAAUAUACUUACUUUAUAUUUACUGUCAAAUUGAUUGCCACUUUCCUUGCUGAUAAUGAAUACAAAGCAAACUUGCCUCCCCAAAUCACAGAUCAGUCAAAGAUUGGUUUAUGUUUUGGGAGUUGUCUAAUUAUGCUCAUCUGUAGCCGCGCUCAUUGUCUUUGCCUGUCAUGAAUGGUUUUAAAGAAUAAGUGAUACUAACAUUUGUAUGCUGCCACAAUAUGUGUUGAUAGCUAUCUGUGGCGUAUUGCUAUAGUACUCAGACUGCUGUUAUAAUAAUUCAGUACGUGGUUGUAGAUGGCAUAUAAUUGGAAUUGACAUGGAAAGACGUGGAAAGGCGCAUGAAGUCAGUUUUGGGAUUAUGUUCACGUAAAGAUGACCUCUUAAUUUCUGUCUUCUGUUCUGGUUUUUCUGGGGGAAAAAUACACAACAUAUUUAAUCAAUAAGGUUGUGCAACUAUAUUUUGUCUUCACAGUUGCCAAUAAAUUUGACAUUCCAACCUUGGACUUAAAAGUCUAUGAUGAAUCGAAGACUGAAGUUGAUGAGGAGGUGUUUGAGUUUCUUCUAAAGAAGCAAGACCUUGGUGUGCUGGAGAUUUGUUUUCCUGCAAGACCCAAGUCCUGAUGGGUAGUUGCUUAUUAGCUUAGUGCUUCACAUUCAUCCAUACAGUCGUAGCUAGCCUAACACAUGUUCUGAAUAUGUGAGACAAGCAGAUAUAUCUGCUGAUUUUCUUUUCUCAUUUUUAUAUUUUAAAAUGAUCUUUGUUUCUGUGCUCACCUAUCCCAUCCCGUUUAGAACAGUAGUGGGCCUAAUCAAUUCAAAAUGUUACAUUUUUGCAUUCCGCUUGUCAUUAACAAAAGUCCUCUAAUCAUAAUAAUGGAUGUUUCCACCUAAAUUGUGUUAUAAUUACAGUGUUAUUCACACCAGUUAAAUGUUAACAUGAUUGCUAGAUUCGUUGAGCUUCUCUGCAAGCAGCUCCUUAUCAAAAUACAGUGGAUACAAUGAGGGGGACUCCGAUGACACCAUUAUAUUGCAGCAGAGUCCUGCUACAAGAAAGACAGCUGAGGAUAAUUGUCUAUCUCAUAUGAUUGAAGACAUUUUGAACAACAAACCUGGAGGAGAGAGGAUCAUGAUUGAGUAUGCUCGAACAAAAAGCCUAACAGAUAGCAGAAGACGCGAUAUGGCCAAGAUAUUAGUUGCACAAAUUACAAGUGAACAUGGGUAUAUGUCAUAUACUCAUUACAUACCUUACCACCUAACACAAUUUUUUAGCAGAAGUUGUGAUUUAUACAUUAAUACUUUUGUUUGGAUCUCAAACAGUAAAGUGUGUGUGUCUAGGACAAGUCCUUCAAGGCGUGUUAGAGGACUACGCAAAGGGCAUCAUUGCCUUGUUCCCAUACCUGGCCGAUCCUAGGAGCAAAUUUGGUUAUGAGCAUUAUUACAGUGCAGAAGAUGGGAGUGGAUAUCUAGCAUGGAGACUGAAAUUUGUGCAAAGGGAAGCAUCAGAGGGACGACAGAAGACCAUGCAUCAGUCACUGACAUGUGGUCCAAAAGCUGAUGGGCAGUUUUCCUCUCUGAAGGAGUCUCUAACAUACAGCUGAAGCAUACAGCUGAUGAAACAAUUGUAAAGGAGAAGAUGAAGCAGAUGUUCGCCUAUUGUCAAAAUAUGGUUCAUGACCCAGUGAAGUUCUCUGAAAUAUUCACAUGGUUUCCAUGAUUCCAAGACAUAGCAGCAAUGAUUUUAGUCUGAUGUUUGGUGAUGCAACCUCUGCAAAGUUCCUGGAGAAGUGGCCUUACUCUCUACAAGGAGAAAGUCAUUGACCAAAGCAGUGGCCUCACACAGACAGGCGACCUGGUUCAAAAUGCUGAAUCCACAACAGAAGUGGAAAAUGGAUGGGACAGUGACAUGUCCUCCAUUUUGGUCCUUGUCCACCUUCUGCCACCGUCACCUCAUGGCUGCAAGAGACCAGGAAAAAUCUCAGCCAGACACACCAGUGAACACAUUGAAGUUUAUCACGGUGUCAUUACAGUUGACUGUUCUGUCCCCAUUCCUAAUCCUAAUAACUACUUUUAAGAUUAUGGACAAAUCAUGACUGGGACCAGUAUCCAGGGGCAUCUGGAGAGCGUCAUGGAAAGCCUUCAACCCUAUCUGCUUGCUGUGGGUUCCCAGAGGAGUGGGAUUCACAAGUACUCCAUUGUGAUUGACAAACAUGCAAUACCUUGUGAGUCACCAGACUCUAUUUCCUGUUUUGAUGAGCUUUUCAAAGCUCAUGUUUGUCUUUGGUACCUUGUACAAUCAGGAUCUGGUAAAUGUGUACAACUUUUGCAAACCACAAUUUAUGAAAUUGAUGUUGAUACCACCAAGGUUAAUCCUAGGGUUGCAGAGUUGAGGGCUCGGAUGCUGCAUUGAGUUACUAAAAGCUUUGAAGUUGCAAAGGGUUAAAACGCAGCAUAGGAAAUAACCUUUUUCCUUUCACACAAAUGUUUUCAUAUCAUUCAUCAAAAAUGUUGUGUUUUGCUUGCAAAAGCCCACAGGCAAAUGCCAAUUCCUUGACAAAACACUUGAAGUUGGUCCACGGACUUUGUCAAGGAAAGACACUUGGUCUUAAAUGCGGUCAGGCUGGUUGUUCACAAGUUUAUGGCACUUUUUCUGGGUUCAGAAAGGAUCUUUAUAAAGCACAUGAACCUUGUUCUGAUCAUGGUGAAGGCUCCUGAAUAUGUAACAGUAAGUCAUUUUGAUGACCUGCCAUCAACAAAUUCCCCUUCUGACUCAGUCCUUGCCAAUAAGAGUCUUGUAGACAGCUGCGCUGCAACCAUAGCUGAACUUAAAGUGGCAGGUGUAGGUGAAACAACUAUUAGCUCUUUGGUAAUUUCCAAUGAAUAGAUAGUUGAUGAUAUUCAUAUUCAAGCUAAAGGAUCUGGGAAGAAGUGUCUGUCUACAGGAGCCUAUUAAAACUGACAUUGAGUGUAAAAUUGAUCAGUGUUUUGAAAACAUGUAAAAUCCCUUUGGCGUAUUAAAUUCUGAAAGUAAGAGAAGGCAGUAUUUUACAGAAAAGUGGGGAAGGGUAGACCCAGUUGAAUGCGUUCUUGGUACAAGAUUUCAUACACAAUGCAAUCGGACUACGGGAGGCUACGAUCAAAUUGUUGUUACUGAUACAUUUGUUUACAUCCCAAUUUUGAAAACAUUAGUUCAUUUACAAACACCCUAAUAAAAAGGAGAUGAUGCAGACUGAUUCCAGUUCAAGAGAACUUUAUGACUUAUGUGAUGGAGAUCUGUUCCAAGAGCCAUGCUCUAUUUUCAAAACAAGCAAUUCAGAUACAGCUUCUCUGUGAUGAUUUUGAAACUGUAAAUCCUCUUGGAUCAAAACAGGGAAAACAAAAUAAAUUAGGAGCGAUCUAUUUCAACUUAUGUCAUUUUUCUCCAAAGUUCAAAUCAUUUCUGCUUAAUAGUCAUUUGGUUGCUUUAUUUCAUUCCCAAGACAUUAAAACAUAUGGCUUUUCUAAAAUACUUGAUCCAAUUGUGCAGGAUAUUAAAAUACUUGAGGGAUGGAUUUAUGGUUCCCUUGUAUGAUCAACCAGUGUAUGGAACUAUUGUCCAAGUCACAGGUUACAACCUUGGUCUUCACUGUUUAUUUGGUUUUGUUGAAUCAUUCAUUGCCAGAUAUUGUUGUCCCUUUUGUCUUGCUGAGACAGAUGACUUUCAGACUGAAUUUGAUGAAGAUUCGCCCAAGAUAAUUAUGCAAACUCGAGCACUUCAUGCAGAACACUGCCAAAAAAAAGGCGACAAAUCCCAGUCUUCCCUAUGUGAUGGGUGUUAAACGUUCUUGCGUUCUAAACUCCUUGCCGUACUUUAAUACACGUGAAAACUUCUCUCUCAAUAUUAUCCAUGAUAUCUUGGAGGGAGUGGCACAAUAUGAAAUUAAACUGCUAGUACUGCACUUGAUAGACAAGUACACAACAUGAAAUGAAAUAGACAGGAGAAUAAAGAGCUUUAACUAUGGUUACAUGGAGCAAAACAACAAACCUGCAGUGAAGUUAGGAGAGAACUCUAAUGACUUGGGGUUAAAUGCUAUCCAGUCCUGGUGUUUACUUUGCAAUCUACCACUUCUCUUUGGAGACUUAGUUUGUCCAAAUGAUCUACACUGGUAAUUUACUGUUGCUGUUGCUUCAGUGAUAUCUCCAAUGAUAUCAAAGGGUGUUACAAUUGUUUUGAAACACUUAAUCGCAGAACACCACAGGUUAUUCAAGCAAUUGUUUCCAAAAAAGAGGCUGCUACCGAAGCAUAAUUUUAUGGUGCAUUACCCCACAUGUAUGCUUGAAAUUUGACCAAUUUUACAUAGCUGGUGCAUGUGCAAAAUGAAGCAAAGCAUAAUUCCUUUAAAAAACAAUUAAAAAGCUUAAAUGUAACAAACAUUGGCAAAAAGAACACAAGUCAAACAGCAUACAGUUGGUAGACAUUUGACACCAACAGAGUCAUGAUUAGUCCAGGUAAAAUGUUAUCUUUAAAUGUCAUGGACUGGGGCUGUAAGAUGGCUGAGACUCUUCCGGUACCAAUUGACACCACGGUUUUAAAUGUUAAAUGGACCAAACACCAUGGAAAUAUGUAUCAUUUAGUUGUUUGUCUUAAAGUUCAUUGUGAGAUGCCAGUUUUUCAGAAAAUCCACCAUGUUGUUGUUAAAGAUGAGUGAUUACUGUUGGUUACUUUUGCCCUAUAAAUAAUGUCUUUAUGAGCAUUUUAACGCAGAUAGAGUUGGUGUGCAACAGAGGGACCUUAUGUAGUGGAUGUUAAAUAGCUUUUCUGUUACAAAGCAUUUGAUAUACAGAUGUCUUACAGUUGUGGUGAUUCAAGUUUGUUUAUUGUCUCAUACUGUUUCCCGUGACUCUAAAAACGGCACAGUAAGCUCUUUAAAACCAAGAUGUAUUGUAUUGAAAUAUUGGCUUUUUGAUUUACUUUUAAAGGAGGGACAGAUGCCAAAAUGUAAUUUUACAGAGGCCACAAUUUUAUUUGAUCAUCAGUGUUUUUGAUAUCUGAGAUGCUAGUUUCACAAAAUCCUCCAUGUCAUUGUUAGAUGUAUUGAAUUGCAAUAUUGAGCUUUUCUAUGUACAUGUAUUCAAGUGAACAGAGGCCAACAUUUAAUUUCAGUCCACAAUUUUAUUUUAUUAUCAUCAGUAUUUUGAUGUAUGUAUUGCAAAUGUCUUACAUUUAAGAAUAAAGUGCUUUGUUAAA